UAGAUAGUGAUGAAGCAAAGAUUAUAAUCCAACACUUGAUCUGAGAUAACAAAGUGAUUGUAAACCUUCCUUUUUGCUUCUGAAUCUAC
rfam:Cajanus cajan Scaffold132340_8, whole genome shotgun sequence.